UGUUUAUUCUGAUCAAAUUGCAUAAC
rnacentral:piRNA from 1 species